rnacentral:miRNA from 1 species
UGUGUGUGUUUGUGUGUGUGUGUGUGUGUGUGUACAUAUGUAUAUAUAUAUAUAUACACACACACACACACACACACACAAACACACACAUAC